rnacentral:rRNA from 1 species
GACGAACCGUGCGAACGUUGUUCGGAAUCACUGGGCUUAAAGGGCGCGUAGGCGGGUUCGCAAGUCAGGGGUGAAAUCUUUCAGCUUAACUGGAAAACAGCCCCUGAUACUGCGAGUCUCGAGGGAGGUAGGGGCAUGUGGAACUUCCGGUGGAGCGGUGAAAUGCGUAGAUAUCGGGAGGAACAUCAGUGGCGAAGGCGGCUACCUGGCCCAAUACUGACACUCAGGUGCGACAGCGUGGGGAGCAAACAGG